AGAGUUUGAUCCUGGCUCAGAACGAACGUUGGCGGCGUGGAUUAGGCAUGCAAGUCGUGCGUGAAAGCGUCCUUCGGGGCGUGAGUAAAGCGGCGAACGGGUGAGUAACGCGUGGGGAAUCUGCCUUCGAGUGGGGGAUAACAUCCCUAACGGGGUGCUAAUACCGCAUGAAUCGGCAGACCGCAUGAUCUGUUGGGAAAGGUGGCCUCUGCUUGCAAGCUACCGCUCGAAGAUGACCCCGCGUCCCAUUAGCUAGUUGGUAGGGUAACGGCCUACCAAGGCUCCGAUGGGUAGCCGACCUGAGAGGGUGACCGGCCACACUGGGACUGAGAUACGGCCCAGACUCCUACGGGAGGCAGCAGUCGAGAAGCUUCGGCAAUGGGCGAAAGCCUGACCGAGCGACGCCGCGUGAGCGAUGAAGGCCCUUGUGGUUGUAAAGCUCUGUCAGAGGGGAUUAAAACGGAGCGGCGAAUAGUCUCUCCGUCUGAAAGUACCCUCAAAGGAAGCUCCGGCUAACUCCGUGCCAGCAGCCGCGGUAAUACGGAGGGAGCGAACGUUGUUCGGAAUUACUGGGUGUAAAGGGUGCGUAGGCGGCCUUGUAUGUCGGAGGUGAAAUCUACCGGCUCAACCGGUCAAAUUGCCUCCGAAACUGCUUGGCUUGAGUCCGGAAGGGGAGGGUGGAAUUCCUGGUGUAACGGUGAAAUGUGCAGAUAUCAGGAGGAACACCGAUGGCGAAGGCAGCCCUCUGGUCCGGUACUGACGCUGAGGCACGAAAGCCAGGGGAUCAAACGGGAUUAGAUACCCCGGUAGUCCUGGCCCUAAACGAUGUCCACUAGGUGUUGGAGGUCCUACCCCUUCAGUGCCGCCGCUAACGCAUUAAGUGGACCACCUGGGGAGUACGCUCGCAAGGGUGAAACUCAAAGGAAUUGACGGGGGCCCGCACAAGCGGUGGAGCAUGUGGUUUAAUUCGAUGCAACGCGAAGAACCUUACCGGGGCUUGACAUCCAGGAGACAGGUGUAGAGAUACACCCUCCUUCGGGUUCCUGGACAGGUGCUGCAUGGCUGUCGUCAGCUCGUGUCGUGAAAUGUUGGGUUAAGUCCCGCAACGAGCGCAACCCUUGCCCUUAGUUGCCAGCACGUAAUGGUGGGAACUCUAGGGGGACUGCCGGUGAUAAACCGGAGGAAGGUGGGGACGACGUCAAGUCAUCAUGGCCCUUACGUCCCGGGCUACACACGUGCUACAAUGGCAGAUACAAAGGGUCGCGAACCCGCGAGGGGGAGCCAAUCCCAAAAAGUCUGCCUCAGUUCGGAUCGCAGUCUGCAACUCGACUGCGUGAAGUCGGAAUCGCUAGUAAUCGCGGAUCAGCAUGCCGCGGUGAAUCCGUUCCCGGGCCUUGUACACACCGCCCGUCAAGUCAACCGAAUUGGUUGCACCCGAAGUCGUUGUGCCAACCCGCAAGGGAGGUAGGCGCCUAAGGUGUGGUCAGUAAGGGGGACUAAGUCGGAGCAAGGUA
rnacentral:rRNA from 1 species